rnacentral:rRNA from 1 species
CCUACGGGUGGCAGCAGUGAGGAACAUUGGUCAUUGGACGAGAGUCUGAACCAGCCAAGUAGCGUGAAGGAUGACUGCCCUAUGGGUUGUAAACUUCUUUUAUAUGGGAAUAAAAUGUUCCACGUGUGGGAUUUUGUAUGUACCAUAUGAAUAAGGAUCGGCUAACUCCGUGCCAGCAGCCGCGGUAAUACGGAGGAUCCGAGCGUUAUCCGGAUUUAUUGGGUUUAAAGGGAGCGUAGGUGGAUUGUUAAGUCAGUUGUGAAAGUUUGCGGCUCAACCGUAAAAUUGCAGUUGAAACUGGCAGUCUUGAGUACAGUAGAGGUGGGCGGAAUUCGUGGUGUAGCGGUGAAAUGCUUAGAUAUCACGAAGAACUCCGAUUGCGAAGGCAGUUCACUGGACUGCAACUGACACUGAGGCUCGAAAGUGUGGGUAUCAAACAGGAUUAGAUACCCUUGUAGUC